AUUGAACGCUGGCGGCAUGCCUUACACAUGCAAGUCGAACGGCAGCGCGGGAGCAAUCCUGGCGGCGAGUGGCGGACGGGUGAGGAAUACAUCGGAAUCUGCCCUGUCGUGGGGGAUAACGUAGGGAAACUUACGCUAAUACCGCAUACGACCUUCGGUGAAGAGGGGAGUCGCAAGACCUCUCGCGAUUGGAUGAGCCGAUGUCGGAUUAGCUAGUUGGCGGGGUAAAGGGCCCACCAAGGCGACGAUCCGUAGCUGGUCUGAGAGGAUGAUCAGCCACACUGGAACUGAGACACGGUCCAGACUCCUACGGGAGGCAGCAGUGGGGAAUAUUGGACAAUGGGCGCAAGCCUGAUCCAGCCAUGCCGCGUGAGUGAAGAAGGCCUUCGGUUGUAAAGCUCUUUGUCCGGAAAGAAAGACAUUCGGUUAUAACCGGGUGUCAUGACGGUACCGGAAGAAUAAGCACCGGCUAACUUCGUGCCAGCAGCC
rnacentral:rRNA from 1 species